AUGCAUCAGUGCAGCUGGUACACAGGAAACAGGUCGGCAGGUAAAUGCCUUGCUGAUGCCCUGGUUGAACAGUGGAGGGAGACAAACCUCAGAGAUUGCCCUAAUUGGCUUUUUGACCACCAAGUUCUAGUUUUUAUGUUCUCUGAAAUGUUGUUUUGUAUGGAAAAUAUCUAUAAACGACCCUCACUUUGGAGUUGCAAAGAAGAUGUGAUUAAAGGUGCUGCAGGGAGAUUUGGUGACAUGCAAGAUCUUUUAGGUGGUGGUUUCACUCGGGUCAUUUUGAGUUGGUAUGGCCAGCUUGUCUUUCCUCCCUACAUCAUUCACGACUUGGAACACACUCUGAUAAGAACACACUGCAACGAAGGAAAGAGCUGUGACCAGUUAAGAUGUACGUGGACAAGAUUGCAGCCUGAACUUUGGGAGCUGCUUUUAAUUCCACAAGCUGCUGUUGUCUUAAGCACUUACAUUAUGGCCUGAAAAAGACAAAUAGUCUUCUGAAAAUAUCUCUACAGGAAGAGCCUUUUCCCCGGUACCUAUAAAACAUUCAUAACACCUUCAUUGUGCUGUAAAUCCUUAGCAGGAGUUGAUAACAGUGUAUGAAUUUUUAAUGUAACAUUUAUAAAUGGUUAUUAAAACUAUCCUUAAAGUAAAGUGUCAGUUUAUUUUUAAUUAACUGUUGGCUAUUUAAGCUCCCAGAUGGCCUCGGGAGAGACCAACAGGCCCACAUGUCAAUUACCUUCCCUCCUGCCCCAUCUUUAACCCCUUGCUGUCUGCUGUCAUGAAGGCCAGUGCAUGUAAGCUCUAAUAACUUUAUGACAUUUGCAGAAACUGUCUCAGGAAUGUCUUAUAAAAUGGUCCUGGAGUCAGCUAUCAUGGCUGACAAAAAAAAAAAAAAAAUUCACCCAUCCUGAAUCCUCACAGCCCAAGACAACUUGUACAUACCUACGCCCAGCAAGAGAAAAAACUGGGGAAAAAAUGGGUAGAUUCUAGAACACUAGAUCUGAGACUCAGGAUUCCACCUCAAGCUCAGGGCCAUCCAUCCUACACGUGUGGUCCUGAGAAGAUUUCAGCUUCCUAGAACGGACAGCUUACUUUGUUGUAAGCGUCAAAUUAAAGCUGGGCAUGAAAAUAUUUUAUGACUAUGAAAAGCUGUCCACACAUACGGUCUGCUCUUUUAUCAUCUUCAAAUUAUUCGUAAUGUUUCCUCAUGGUUUCCUGAUAAGAACUUCCCCCAGGUUUGAAUAUUUCAUUUUCAGGACUUCAGAAAACAGGAAAACCCAUUUUGUCUGUUUGCUUUAGAGUGCCGUUCUUUCCUAGAGUUGGAAGGAUGAUUCCACUCAGGGUACCUACUCUCUCUGCAUUUUCACCUGAGAAGGCCUGUGUGACUUCGAAUGGCAGUCCCAGGACCAAGAAGCUUACCGUGCAUUGUAAUUAGAAAAUCCAACUGUUAGCAAGAUGGGCUUGGUUCCUUUGGGGUCUCAGAUUCUCCAGAUACGUACAUUUUGCUGAUUCUCACCAAGACAUGUGGAACAGAUUCUACUGGCAACCUGGGCUGUGAUUCUUUGCCUAUGUUGUACCACACAUCCCAACAUUUCUGCCUUCCCUUCAUUUGCUUCCAGAUAGCAUUACCCAGCCAAGCAUGGGGGAUAUAAGAAUCCAAAAAUCUUGCCUUCACAGGACACAUGUGAACAUGUAUAUGUUUGUGAGCACGUGUGUAAGUGUGCGCUUGUAUUAAUAUAAACAUGCAAGUGCCUGACAUCAGUCUGGAAGACUUCUUAAUGUUCCUCAACAAAUGGAAAAAUUAAAUCUAGGCAUGGACUCAAAUUCAUUAGAAUAGUAGUCAAAGCCCUUCAUGGGUAGCCUGGGAUUUGUUUAUGGUUCAUUCUCCUACCAACGCAGCUCUUCCACUUCGGGCUCUAGAAAGACUGAAUUACUCGCCAUUCCUCUGAAUGAACCACACUUGCUUUAUGCGUCAUAGAACUUGCACAUACUGUUUCUACAGCUAAGUGAAAGUUGCUCAGUUGUGUCCAACUCUUUGCGACCCCAUGGACUAUACAGUCCAUGGAAUUCUCCAGGCCAGAAGACUGGAAUGGGUGGUUGUUCCCUUCUCCAGGUGAUCUUCCCAACCCAGGGAUCAAACACAGGUCUCCCGCACUGCAGGUGGAUUCUUUACCAGCUAAGCCACCAGGGAAGCCCCUACAGCUAGGAGUGUUCUUUAAUACCUGGGGAAUGUCUAAUCAUUCUUCAAUAUUCCUCUCAGCUGCUGGUCUCUGGGAAGUUGUCCGUCACAUAUAAUCCCUGUGUUUCCUCCCGUUAUUAUAUUUAUCACAUUACAUGGCAAUUUCCUGAUUAUGUUUUUGUUUCCUUUAUGAGUGUGAGCUUUGGUAAAGCACAGACUAAAUGUCUUAUUUGUCUAUCAGCCAGUGUUCGCACAGCAGACACACAUCAAUCACUUGUUGAACAAGGAAGAAUAGAUAUGUUCCGAUACAGGCUUUGCAAGUUCCACUGGUCACAUUAAAAAGGCAAAAUGAUUAAUUCUCUUUUGUUUUAUGCUGCUGAAUAUUAACCAAGAGUUUACUUUGUGAUUAGGAAUGAUGAUGUGUUCAACUUAUUUCAGACAGAAUAAACUUGAGAUGUUUGCAAAACAUCUGAGUUCUAAUUGGAAGAAAACUGUAUGUUUGGUGAAAUGGGUUUGGGCCGUGACUAUGCAUACAAGGCAUUUCUGAGCACAGUAUGACUAAAUGCCUGUGCAAAGGAAAAAAAAAAUAAUAUGGAAGAGAAAACUAGACUUGGGGUUAAACAUAGCAGAUUAAACAUAGACUUUUCCGUGAUCUUUUUCAAACCCUCCUAAAAUGAUAAAAUGAUACUGAUGAACCAAAAAAGAAAUAAAUCUAUGGCAUAAAAGAAAAUGAGAGAAGGGUUGAUAGAUAAGGAGAAAUGUCAGUGGAAUUAUAAUAGUAAAAGCCUGUGGGUGAGUAGUCACUGAGCCCAUCAGAGAGGGCUGAGUGAUUGGUGCGGAAAUCUGGAAGAGUCGGGCAAUAUGCAACUCUGAAGUCAGGAACAAUGGGUAGAACUGUAAAUAAGAGGGUUGGUUGAAUGCGAAUGUGUAUGUAUUGAGCAGUUGGGUAUGUGUGUCAGUCGCUCAGCAAUUGAGCAGUUAGACCCUCAGAAAAACUUCAAAAGUCUGUCACGCUUUUAUAAAGCAAGACAGGAAACUUAGUCUCUUAAUGGUUGAUUCAGAGGGACGAGAGGGGGUAGCCUUUCCCUCCUCCAGGGGAUCUUCCCAACUCAGGGAUCAAACCCAGGUCUCCGGCAUUGCAGGCAGAUUCUUAACCAACUGAGCUAUGAGGGAAGCCCAUUCUCAGGAACACUAGGUACAAAUGAGGCUAGACACAAAGCAAUGCAUGAAAUACACAUACAUUGAUUGGAAGUCUGCCCCUACUUGGCUUCCAGAAUCCUGGAAACAAAGUUUAUGUUCUCCAGACACUCAUCGCUGGGGAAGUGACUGGUCCAAAGGAAGAGACUUAUGUUAGCAGUCAUCUGUUAAUACAGAGGUCAAGUCCUGUCUCCACCACCUUUCAGUAGAGCCCACAAGUGUACAAGAUAUGCUCUAUGCAUUGCUCCAUGGACACUUCUUAGUGAGACGGAUAGAUUAGAGGGAUCGUAGGUAUAAAUAAAACAUAGAUUUAAAAUUAAAGCUCUUAUGAAAGGGAUCAAAACAAAUGUAUAUUAUAAAAGGAAUGCCCAGGAAAUAAAAAUAAUGUAAACAGCACAAAGAAAUGC
rnacentral:lncRNA from 1 species